UUUUCUGUCAAAGCGAGAAACUCCAGCUUUAAAUAUUGGCAUGACCAGUCCAGUAGCCGGAUGUUUCUCUCCUACUCGUCGAAGAACAAAGUUGAUUGAGCUCAAUGAAUCUGAUUCCACCUCUAAGCUAGUCUUAUGCCGUGAUAUAAGCCCAACAAUCCAACAAACUCUAUGUUGCAGUUAUCAUGAUUGCUGCCAAAACCCACAAUCUAAUUACCAUGUCAAUCUCGUAUUACUUCGGAACCAACUCGAUGUUAGUCUUUUUUUCCUUUGUGAAGUGGCAAAAGUUGUUAAUGUAUGAUCAAUAGCGGCAAAAGACAUGAAAAUUACAUUGUCUUUUUUCUUCUUCUUUUUUAAUUGUGAAUUACUUUUAGUUUAAUCUAUUCAUUUAAUGUAUUUUCCUUUAUUUUGAUGUUUUGGGUAUUUUUGAAUUGUAUUUAAAUGAAAAAUAAAGUAAAACCAUUAUGAAAUUGAAUGAAAGUUUUGAUAACGUGUUAAUUGCUUUGAGAAAUUGAGGGUUUCCACAAUUUUGGCAUGUUUUGCCAAGGAAAAUAAAAAAUGGAAGUUAAUUUGAUUGGAAAAAAUUGUGAAAAUGAUUAUGUUACUUUUUUUUUUUAUGAUCUCCAGUUUCUUUUUCUUUUUCUUUUAGAUAGAAAGUAAAUAAUUCACAUGUUUCUACUUAUUCAAUGGAAAAUUUUCUUAUUUUCUCAUGGUCAUAUGAAACAAAUUU
rnacentral:lncRNA from 1 species